rnacentral:rRNA from 1 species
UACAGAGGGUGCAAGCGUUGUUCGGAAUUAUUGGGCGUAAAGGGCGCGUAGGCGGUGCGGUAAGUCCGCAGUGAAAUCUCUGGGCUCAACUCAGAGUCUGCUGUGGAAACUGCCGUGCUUGAGUGUGGGAGAGGUGAGUGGAAUUCCCAGUGUAGCGGUGAAAUGCGUAGAUAUCGGGAGGAACACCAGUGGCGAAGGCGAACUACCUGGCCUGUUCUUGACGCUGAGGCGCGAAAGCUAGGGGAGCAAACGGGAUUAAGAA